rnacentral:ncRNA from 1 species
AAAUAAUUUGGCUUUAGUUAAUAUAUAAAUUAUUAUUAAAUAAUAUAUGUUAAGUUUAAGUGUUAUUGUCUUAUCUUUAGUAUUUUGAGUAUGAUUGUUUAAUACAUUUAUGUUAAAAAUAUAAUUAUAUUAAUAUUUUAUUAAAAUAAUUUUUAAAGGUUACGCAGUAUUUAUUGUUAUACAAUUAAUGAGAGUUUGAUAUAGUUAAUAUAAAAUAAAGGUGGAUUAAUUUGUGCCAGCAUCCGCGGUUAUACAAAUACCUUAAAUUUAUAUAAUAUAGUAUAAAGAAAAGUGAUAGAUUAUUAUGAUUAGAGCAUAUUGAGAGUAGUAAUUAUAGGUAAAAUUUAAAUAUUAUUAUUAAUUUAAUUCUUCUAAAAUUAAAUCUUUGAAAGUAGAUUAUUAAAAACUAGGAUUAGAUACCCUACUAUUUCUUAUCUUAAAAAUUUUUUUAUUUAAGUAGUGUAAAUGUUAAUUAUAUUAUGUGUAUUUGAAACUUAAAAAGCUUGGCGGUGUUAUAAACCCAUUUAGGGGAGCUUGUUUAUUAAUUUGAUAAUCCUCAAUUAAUUCUUACUUUUUUUUGAAUGAGCAGUUUGUGUAUUGCUGUCGUCAGUUUAUUUCGUAAGAAUAGCUAAAGGACUUAAAAAUAUUUAAAUUAAAAUGUCAAGUCAAAAUGCAGCUUAUGGAAAAGGUUUAUAGAAUGAGCUACAAUUUAUAGAUUUUAAUUGGAUUGAAUUUUGUAAAAGUUUAUAAAUUUGGACUUAAUAGUAAUAUAUAAUUAGUAUGUUUAUAUGAAUAUGGUUUUAUAACGCGUACAUAUCGCCCGUCGCUCUUGUUGACAAAAUAAGAUAAGUCGUAACAUAGUAGGGGUAGUGGAAGCUGUUCCUGGGCUAAA